GAUGAACGCUGGCGGCGUGCCUAAUACAUGCCAGUCGAGCGAACGGACGAGAAGCUUGCUUCUCUGAUGUUAGCGGCGGACGGGUGAGUAACACGUGGAUAACCUACCUAUAAGACUGGGAUAACUUCGGGAAACCGGAGCUAAUACCGGAUAAUAUUUUGAACCGCAUGGUUCAAAAGUGAAAGACGGUCUUGCUGUCACUUAUAGAUGGAUCCGCGCUGCAUUAGCUAGUUGGUAAGGUAACGGCUUACCAAGGCAACAAUGCAUAGCCGACCUGAGAGGGUGAUCGGCCACACUGGAACUGAGACACGGUCCAGACUCCUACGGGAGGCAGCAGUAGGGAAUCUUCCGAAAUGGGCGAAAGCCUGCCGGAGCAACGCCGCGUGAGUGAUGAAGGUCUUCGGAUCGUAAAACUCUGUUAUUAGGGAAGAACAUAUGUGUAAGUAACUGUGCACAUCUUGACGGUACCUAAUCAGAAAGCCACGGCUAACUACGUG
rnacentral:rRNA from 1 species